rnacentral:misc_RNA from 1 species
AAAAUUAUAUUCUUCUUGCCGUUAUUAUGCACGUGGUGAAAUAUCCUUUGUUUAUGGAUUAUGAUGAUGUUUCUCAAUAAAGUUUUGAAUUUCCAAUCAUUAUGAACAUGGCACCUAGAGUGAUAGACCAUUCACAAGGCUGAAAAAUGUUAAAAAUGUAGCUAUAGUACUUAAUUGAAUUAUAGUGCUAUUAAAUUGAUAGAUUAGUUG